rnacentral:rRNA from 1 species
GACGAACGCUGGCGGCGUGCCUAAUGCAUGCAAGUCGAGCGAGCUUGCUUAGAUGAAUUUGGUGCUUGCACCAAAUGAAACUAGAUACAAGCGAGCGGCGGACGGGUGAGUAACACGUGGGUAACCUGCCCAAGAGACUGGGAUAACACCUGGAAACAGAUGCUAAUACCGGAUAACAACACUAGACGCAUGUCUAGAGUUUAAAAGAUGGUUCUGCUAUCACUCUUGGAUGGACCUGCGGUGCAUUAGCUAGUUGGUAAGGUAACGGCUUACCAAGGCAAUGAUGCAUAGCCGAGUUGAGAGACUGAUCGGCCACAUUGGGACUGAGGCACGGCCCAAACUCCUACGGGAGGCAGCAGUAGGGAAUCUUCCACAAUGGACGCAAGUCUGAUGGAGCAACGCCGCGUGAGUGAAGAAGGGUUUCGGCUCGUAAAGCUCUGUUGGUAGUGAAGAAAGAUAGAGGUAGUAACUGGCCUUUAUUUGACGGUAAUUACUUAGAAAGUCACGGCUAACUACGUGCCAGCAGCCGCGGUAAUACGUAGGUGGCAAGCGUUGUCCGGAUUUAUUGGGCGUAAAGCGAGUGCAGGCGGUUCAAUAAGUCUGAUGUGAAAGCCUUCGGCUCAACCGGAGAAUUGCAUCAGAAACUGUUGAACUUGAGUGCAGAAGAGGAGAGUGGAACUCCAUGUGUAGCGGUGGAAUGCGUAGAUAUAUGGAAGAACACCAGUGGCGAAGGCGGCUCUCUGGUCUGCAACUAACGCUGAGGCUCGAAAGCAUGGGUAGCGAACAGGAUUAGAUACCCUGGUAGUCCAUGCCGUAAACGAUGAGUGCUAAGUGUUGGGAGGUUUCCGCCUCUCAGUGCUGCAGCUAACGCAUUAAGCACUCCGCCUGGGGAGUACGACCGCAAGGUUGAAACUCAAAGGAAUUGACGGGGACCCGCACAAGCGGUGGAGCAUGUGGUUUAAUUCGAAGCAACGCGAAGAACCUUACCAAAUCUUGACAUCCUCUGACCCCUCUAGAGAUAGAGUUUUCCCCUUCGGGGGACAGAGUGACAGGUGGUGCAUGGUUGUCGUCAGCUCGUGUCGUGAGAUGUUGGGUUAAGUCCCGCAACGAGCGCAACCCUUAAGCUUAGUUGCCAUCAUUAAGUUGGGCACUCUAAGUUGACUGCCGGUGACAAACCGGAGGAAGGUGGGGAUGACGUCAAAUCAUCAUGCCCCUUAUGAUUUGGGCUACACACGUGCUACAAUGGACAAUACAAAGGGCAGCGAAACCGCGAGGUCAAGCAAAUCCCAUAAAGUUGUUCUCAGUUCGGAUUGUAGUCUGCAACUCGACUAUAUGAAGCUGGAAUCGCUAGUAAUCGUAGAUCAGCAUGCUACGGUGAAUACGUUCCCGGGUCU